GGUGGCAGAGCAGUUUACACUGAUGGAUGCGGAACUGUUCAAGAAGGUGGUGCCCUACCACUGCCUGGGCUCCAUCUGGUCCCAGCGGGACAAGAAGGGCAAGGAGCACCUGGCGCCCACCAUCCGCGCCACUGUCACCCAGUUCAACAGUGUGGCCAACUGUGUCAUCACCACCUGCCUCGGAAACCGAAGCACGAAAGCCCCAGACAGGGCCAGGGUGGUGGAGCACUGGAUCGAGGUGGCCAGGGAGUGCCGGAUCCUCAAGAACUUCUCGUCACUGUAUGCCAUCCUCUCUGCCCUGCAGAGCAACUCCAUCCACCGUCUGAAGAAGACGUGGGAAGACGUUUCCAGGGACAGUUUCCGGAUCUUUCAGAAGCUGUCAGAGAUCUUCUCAGAUGAGAACAACUACUCAUUGAGCCGGGAGCUGCUCAUCAAGGCGUGAGCCACCGCACCAUGCAGCAGGCGGAGUUCUCAUCCGCACUUUCCAGAGGGGGAGGCAGGCUCAGGAAGGCCAGGCCACUGGCCCAGGACCCCACACUAGAGGGCACCUCCAAGUUUGCCACCCUGGAGAUGAACCCCAAGAGAGCCCAGAAACGGCCGAAGGAGACGGGCAUCAUCCAGGGCACCGUUCCCUACCUGGGCACGUUCCUCACCGACCUGGUGAUGCUGGACAC
rnacentral:sRNA from 1 species